GGGCUGCUUUCCUUCAGCUUCAUACCCGGGGAAACCGAGUAAGCCUCUGGGAAGGUCUACCCUGAUUCCUUCCCCAGAGCACUGGAUAAUGUGGAAUGAAACACAAAUACUUUUGAGUACAUGUUCACAGUGCAGGGCAAGCUGCCGAGAAAGAACUCUUUACCUCCUCAUCAAGUUUUCCUCCUCUUUGAGUUCCUAACCAUGAGCCUCGCGUGGACUGUUAUCACCAACCAAACUUUCAAUAGGUGGAUGGGAUCACUAGGUCAUUUUGUUCUGCCUCUCUUUUCUCAUAAAUAUUUCUGCCCAAACUAAAGGAACAGAGAUGAGAUUUGACCAAAAAAGGAAAAAAAAAAGAUUACUCCAUUCAAAAUAACAUAUUUUUUGAAAGCAAAUAUAGGAAAGCCUUUUCCUAUUAUUUUUUUUCUUCUUAGCUUCCCCAUUGUCUGAAUUGGGAAAACAGGAAAGCAUUGCUUUCUAGCACCUGCAAAAUGGUUUAAUGCCCCUGCAUAUUUCCAUGUCCUUCCAACAAUAGAUUUAGCAUGGGAAUCUGAAAUAGACGCCCUGAAAACAUCUGUCUCUUCCCCAGCUCCUAAACCCAGGCUUUGAUUAUGUAUGGUUUGUGAAAUCUAUCAUCCAAAACGGGGACAGACACACCUCAAUCCUCCAUGGGGUCAACAACUAUAUACCCCCAGUGACCCCUUAGGCAAGGACUUGUUGAGAACUGCAUCACAUUUUGACCUGUUCUCAACAGUACCCAUCUAUUUCAGGUGGGAUCUCUGGACCUUUCCUCCUUCCCAUCUUGUCUGCAAUGUGGCAAAUGGCUUCUUUUUGCAUUUUUACUCCGCCCCCACCCCAAGCUGAAGUUCAUUUGCAGAUCAGCGAUUAAGUCUGAAUUGUGUGGUGGUCAGUCUUGUUUCCUUUUGUCAGGGGUUAUUGUAAAUGUUAGUAAUUUCGCCUCAAGCCCUCAGUAAGAACAUAAAUAUUUUAAAAUAUGUGCGUUUGAAAUCUGUUUCAUGCAUCCUGGAACUGUGGGAUGCUCAGGCAAGAGUGACUUUAGUCUUUCAGUGAAUGUUGCCCAGAAUGUGGGUAGGGAAGGCUCACAGGUUACUCUCCUCCUUAGAGCUACAACAUAACAUUCUGAGGGGAGUCACAGGGUUGCCUUUAAAAAGUGGGAGCUAUGUCAUGCUUUGAGCUUUCUGUUAAGCACCUCUCCUAAUAAACUCUGAAAAAAUAUUUGUUUUG
rnacentral:lncRNA from 1 species